rnacentral:RNase_P_RNA from 1 species
AGUGAGCUGAGCAGCCGCGUGCGCACCGCGCAUGAGGAAAGUCCGAGCAUCGCAGAGCAGGAUAACGGCUAACGGCCGCCGGGGGUGACCCCAGGGAUAGUGCAACAGAAAUAUACCGCCGCGAGAGCCCGCCCAUGGCGGGAGCGCGCUUCGGCGCCGCCCCUCGCGGUAAGGGUGGAAAGGCGAGGUAAGAGCUCACCGGCGUGCUGGAGACAGCACGGCCCUGUAAACCCUAUCCGAUGCAACGCCGACCGAAGCGAUACAUUGGCUCGAUGUGCUUCAACGGGCGGCUUGAGCCGGCUGGCAACAGCCGGUCGAGAUAGAUGGCUGCUUUCAACAGAACUCGGCUUACAGGCUCACUCA